GACGAACCGUACGAACGUUAUUCGGAAUUACUGGGCUUAAAGGGUGCGUAGGCUGUGCGGAAAGUCGGUUGUGAAAUACCUCAGCUUAACUGAGGAACUGCAGUCGAUACUGCCGUGCUAGAGGAAGAUAGAGGUAAGCGGAACUUAGGGUGGAGCGGUGAAAUGCGUUGAUAUCCUAAGGAACACCGGUGGCGAAGGCGGCUUACUGGAUCUUUUCUGACGCUGAGGCACGAAAGCUAGGGUAGCGAAC
rnacentral:rRNA from 1 species